rnacentral:pre_miRNA from 1 species
AAAGUACUCCCUCCGUCCCAAAAUUCUUGUCUUAGAUUUGUCUAGAUACAGAUGUAUCAAGUCACAUUUUAGUAUUAGAUACAUCUGUAUCUAGACAAAUCUAAGACAAGAAAUUUGGGAUAGAGGGAGUAGUUU